GGCCCGGCUCCGGGUCUCGGCCCGCACGGUCCGGCCGGCCAUGCUGGCGGGGCUGGGGCCCAGGCCGAGCCCGCGGCUGGGCC
ensembl:miRNA